UACGAAGGGGGCUAGCGUUGCUCGGAAUCACUGGGCGUAAAGCGCACGUAGGCGGCUUACUAAGUCAGGGGUGAAAUCCUGGAGCUCAAUUCCAGAACUGCCUUUGAUACUGGUGAGCUUGAGUCCGGAAGAGGUGAGUGGAACUGCGAGUGUAGAGGUGAAAUUCGUAGAUAUUCGCAAGAACACCAGUGGCGAAGGCGGCUCACUGGUCCGGUACUGACGCUGAGGUGCGAAAGCGUGGGGAGCAAACAGG
rnacentral:rRNA from 1 species